rnacentral:miRNA from 1 species
CCCAGGGAGGGCUAGAAUAUCUGAGUAAUCAGGUCUGGAACUGACCAUAGCAUUUGCAUUUUUACAAGUUCCCAGGUGAUUCUGAUGCUGCUCGUUCA